AGAGUUUGAUCCUGGCUCAGGAUGAACGCUGGCGGCGUGCUUAACCCAUGCAAGUCGAACGGUCGCAAGACAGUGGCGCACGGGUGAGUAACACGUAGCUAACCUGCCUUCGAGUCUGGAAUAACGCCCCGAAAGGGGUGCUAAUACCGGAUAAGCUCCCGAUGAGUAAGUAAUCGGGAGAAAAGGGGAAACUCGCUUGAAGAGGGGGCUGCGACCCAUCAGGUAGUUGGUGCGGUAACGGCGCACCAAGCCGACGACGGGUAGGGGGUCUGAGAGGAUGAUCCCCCACACUGGGACUGAGACACGGCCCAGACUCCUACGGGAGGCAGCAGUGAGGAAUAUUGCACAAUGGGCGAAAGCCUGAUGCAGCGACGCCGCGUGGGUGAUGAAGGUCUUCGGAUCGUAAAGCCCUUUUCUGUGUGACGAGUAAGGACGGUAGCACAGGAAUAAGUCUCGGCUAACUACGUGCCAGCAGCCGCGGUAAUAC
rnacentral:rRNA from 1 species